rnacentral:rRNA from 1 species
AUUGAACGCUGGCGGCAGGCCUAACACAUGCAAGUCGAACGAGUGGCGGACGGGUGAGUAAUGUCUGGGAAACUGCCUGAUGGAGGGGGAUAACUACUGGAAACGGUAGCUAAUACCGCAUACCAUCGGAUGUGCCCAGAUGGGAUUAGCUAGUAGGUGGGGUAAAGGCACACCUAGGCGACGAUCCCUAGCUGGUCUGAGAGGAUGACCAGCCACACUGGAACAGGACCCCGGUCCAGACUCCUACGGGAGGCAGCAGUGGGGAAUAUUGCACAAUAGGCGCAAGCCUGAUGAGACCCUGCCGCGUGUAUGAAGAAGGCCUUCGGGUUUUAGAGUACUUUCAGCGGGGAGGCGUUACCCGCAGAAGAAGCACCGGCUAACUCCGUGCCAGCAGCCGCGGUAAUUC